GCCGCUGUAGCUCAGGGGUAGAGCAACGCAUUCGUAAUGCGUAGGUCCCCGGUUCAAAUCCGGGCAGCGGCUCCA
rnacentral:tRNA from 1 species